rnacentral:miRNA from 1 species
AAAGUGCUCCCACUUUGUGUGU